UUUCAUUAAUUGUGGGUUUUCCAUACUGGUCUUUCGACCUCAGGUAUUUGCCACCAUGUGUUGGGUCCGCAGGUUCCUCCCGCGUCCCUUGCCUACUCGACCAUCAAUCAAGUACCAUACUCCCAUUUUCAAAACAUCUUUCAUAUCAUUUAUUCAUCAAUCAUUCAAACAUCAUGGAGAACACGUAGCAAAAGUCACAUUAAAGCACACAUAAUUAGGUUCUUAUGAUGAGCAAAUGAAAGCUUCAACUUACCUCAAGUUCAAUAUGGUGUAUGAAGUGAAA
rnacentral:lncRNA from 1 species